rnacentral:misc_RNA from 1 species
GAUGAAGAACGUAGCGAAAUGCGAUAAUUAAUGUGAAUUGCAGAAUUCCGUGAAUCAUCGAGUCUUUGAACGCACAUUGCGCCUCAUGGCAUUCCGUGAGGCAUGCCCAUCUCAGCGUUAGAAAAUAUUCUCAAAUUUUAGUUUUGUGCUAAAAUUUGGAUCAUGUCAAGGAAGCUAUUACUAUUAUUGUGAUCGCUCUUUGGAAAUUGAUAGGUCUUUGAGUUGCUACUCAUAGAACGUGAUGAAUCUUUCUUCGUUCUAUUGUAAUUCACUCUGGUAGUCCUAAAACUUGUAUGCCUGUGGCAUAUCUUGUAAUUUGACCUGAGAUUGGGUAGGGAUACCCGCUGAACUUAAGCAUAUCAAUAACGGAGGA